rnacentral:rRNA from 1 species
UACGUAGGUGGCAAGCGUUAUCCGGCAUUAUUGGGCGUAAAGCGCGCGCAGGCGGUUUCUUAAGUCUGAUGUGAAAGCCCACGGCUCAACCGUGGAGGGUCAUUGGAAACUGGGGAACUUGAGUGCAGAAGAGAAAAGCGGAAUUCCACGUGUAGCGGUGAAAUGCGUAGAGAUGUGGAGGAACACCAGUGGCGAAGGCGGCUUUUUGGUCUGUAACUGACGCUGAGGCGCGAAAGCGUGGGGAGCAAACAGG